rnacentral:lncRNA from 1 species
CUCCCCUUCACCAGCUCCGCGGAAACCAUAGCAACGGGCAGCCGGAAGAUGCGGCCAUUCCUCUCCCUUUUGUCCAUUGCAUUUCAGCAGCGCCCGCGCACAUGGACGCUCCAAUUACAGCUCUAGAGGCUAGAAAUUGGCAGUCAGGAUGUGUGUAAGGCCACGCUCCCUCUGAAGACUCCAGGGGAGGAUCUUUCCUUGCCUCCUCCAGCUUCUGGUGGCUGCCAGCAUCCUUGGCAUUCCUUGGCCUGUGGACACAUCACUCUCAUCUCUGCCCAUGGUCACAACCCCAAGCUCCAGAAUACAGACCAGCAGGCGAGGAGACAAGGAGGCAAGCAGAUGGAUGGUGGAACAAAGUGGCAGAGAAAGAGAGAAGAGGAGAGAUGUCUGGACGCCAAGAGGAGUCUGGCUGGGGCCAGUCAGAGAAGAGUCCAGCGGCUGGGCAGCCCGACUCCAGGGGAAGAUCACCUUCCCACUCCAUCCCCCUUCACGCUCCCCAUCCAUCUCACUAAGAGCCAUCUCUACCACUCAAUAAAACCUUGCAUUCAUCCUUCAAA